AGUCUUUUGUAGUUUGUAAGUGCGAUGGUUGGGUUCGAGAGGUGCCUCCCUCAAACCUUUCAGACAUUGUCAUCGGCACGUAACCUGCCUGAGG
ensembl:snoRNA